rnacentral:rRNA from 1 species
AGUGAACGCUGGCGGCAGGCCUAACACAUGCAAGUCGAGCGGCAGCGCGGGGGCAACCCUGGCGGCGAGCGGCGGACGGGUGAGGAAUUCGUCGGAAUCUGCCUUUUUGUGGGGGAUAACGUAGGGAAACUUACGCUAAUACCGUAUACGUCCUACGGGAGAAAGUGGGGGACCGCAAGGCCUCACGCAGAAAGAUGAGCCGACGACCGAUUAGCUAGUUGGUGGGGUAAAGGCCCACCAAGGCGACGAUCGGUAGCUGGUCUGAGAGGAUGAUCAGCCACACUGGGACUGAGACACGGCCCAGACUCCUACGGGAGGCAGCAGUGGGGAAUAUUGGACAAUGGGCGCAAGCCUGAUCCAGCCAUGCCGCGUGUGUGAAGAAGGCCUUCGGGUUGUAAAGCACUUUUGUCCGGAAAGAAAUCCCUGGAGCUAAUACCUUCGGGGGAUGACGGUACCGGAAGAAUAAGCACCGGCUAACUUCGUG